AGACACUACGGGCUGCAGGCCGGAGCUCAGACACAGCGCGCUGAAGGUCCCCAGCCGUGCCCCGCCGGGAGGCAGCCAAACCCGGCGAGAAUUUGAGUGCAGCGCGGGCAGGCCGGCACUGCUGGGGGACCUGGCACAACCACGGCAGCUGCUGGCCCGGGUGCUAGGCCCCUCACUGCCCUGGGCCCGCGGUACCGGCGGGCAGCUCCGUGUCCAGGGGCCGCCCAGCCCGCGCCCGCCGGAACUCACACUGGCCCGCGAGCGCAGCCCCGGUUCCCGCCCGGGCCUCCACACCUCCCGCAAGCAGAGGGAGGAGGCUCUGGUCCCAGCCAUCACAGAGAGGAGCUCCCACGGUGCCAUGGCAGGCCGAAGGGCCCCUCAAGUGCCGCCAGAGUGGACGCUGAGGCCGAGGAGGCGCUGAGAGAAGCUCAAGGUCAUCACUUGGCAAAGCUCCGGGGAAGAGUCUAAGACCUCGAGGCACACAUUUUAGCCCAGGAAAGUCUUUCUCAAGGACCUUGGAGACGUCUUUAUUGAAAUCUUCAUGGAAGCAUGUCCUUAUCUUCCAGUUUCUGUAAGAGGGACUCAGAACUUUGGACCGCCUUUGAAUUUAAACAAGUGUUGGGAGCUUAACCAAGCACUGGAAAGUAGAGUUACCACCCCUCACCGUACCUCUCAGAACUGGCUGACCACAAAGAAGAAGUUUCUUGCUCAAAUACCUGAUCACCACACUUACUCGUCCCAUGCUCUCAUACCUAGCUUUUUCUCUUCCUGUUUACCUCAGUAUUAAAGAAAAGCCUUUCUGCCUGAGCUCUGAGAUGCUUGUAGAUCUUACAGUUGGAGUGCACUCCCUAUUGCAAUACCCCCUACUAUUGCAGCCGUCUUUUCAAAUACAAUUUCUCCUUCUCCAAGUUUGAAUUUUUAAUUUUUUCACCUGAAAAUCAUCACCAUUUUCAUUGAUUGCCAAGCUUUCUCUCAUCUCUAUAUUCUACUGUUUUUGGUUCUGACAGCUCUUUUAUGCUGUACUACCCGUUACAAAUUUAACUACAGAAGAAUCUCAGGGGCAGGAUGAUUUUGUCACCAUGGAAAACUGUGUAAAUUAACAUGCUAGAGACAUGGAUAACCCUGAAAAACUAAAGCUGAGAAUGGUUCAAAAUUUACCAACUCCACUUUCUGAAGCAAUGGUUUUUUGACUGACUUAAAAAAAAUUGGCUGUGUGUUUUUACACAGAGUCUGAAGACAAUCUGAAAAUUCAAGUUGGCUUGAAAUUUAUAUUGGACUACCUGUGCUUUUCUACUACAAUCAGCUACUAGCCUCACCACCACCAUGAAUGAUGAUGCAUGUUUUCAAUUUUAUGCCUCUAUUCCUCGCCUGAGAAUGUUUCCAUAGAACUUGUUAUUGUUUGACUUGGGGACUUAAUAAUCUAAAAGAAACAAGUAGAAGCACCAUGGUGUCAUGAAAAUACCUCUAGGGUAGGAGUCAGGAGACCUGGGCUCUAAUAUUGGGGUUCCAUUUAUUUAUGGUGAUCUUCGGUGGACACUUAAACUCUUCUGGGCUUCCAUUUCAUUAGAAUAAUUAAUCUUACUACAUAUUUUAAAGACGCAAAGAAAUAAUGUAUCAUAUCCAGGUUUUUUUCAUAUUUAAAUAUCAUUACUUGUUUCACAUAUGUAUCCUAUAUCUUCAAUAGAUUGAGAGUUGCCUCAGAGACCCGAUAGUUCCUAACUGCUUAACAUAGCAAUAAACACAUAAUGGUUGUUCA
rnacentral:lncRNA from 1 species